rnacentral:lncRNA from 1 species
GUGACCUCUGAAUGGCUCUCCUUCAGCCAAUGAAGUUCGUCUUCCAACCUCUUGGAUUUCUUUGUCAACUAACGAACUUCCUUUUGAAGGUCUCGUAUUAUCGACUUCAAGGGAAUACCCUCCAACAGGGGAAGAGCUUCGGCAGAACACUGUCAUUGGAGGAUAAGAGCGCCACGGCUCAAAUUAAUGCCAAAAGAUUAAAAGAAGGAAAAGGAUACAAAAA